rnacentral:rRNA from 1 species
UACGUAGGGUGCGAGCGUUGUCCGGAAUUACUGGGCGUAAAGAGCUCGUAGGUGGUUUGUCGCGUUGUUCGUGAAAACUCACAGCUUAACUGUGGGCGUGCGGGCGAUACGGGCAGACUGGAGUACUGCAGGGGAGACUGGAAUUCCUGGUGUAGCGGUGGAAUGCGCAGAUAUCAGGAGGAGCACCGGUGGCGAAGGCGGGUCUCUGGGCAACAACUGACGCUGAGGAGCGAAAGCGUGGGGAGCGAACAGG